AGGAGUAUCUUGUGUUACAAAACAAAAUCUACCUCCAUCUAAUUGAUCUAUGAUUGCUUGGAUGAAUGGAAUAUGGCUUUGCAUGGCAUAUUGUGAUAAUGGGAUUGUGGUUGAUGGUGGUUGCUCGUGGAAUGAAGUGUGUGGAAGAAGACUAUUUAAAAUAAUUUUUAUUUUUAUGUAUUGUUAGUUUAUUAAAUUCUAAGUUAAUUUUGAAGUUUAAGAUAUCAAAUAUGGUUGUAUUCUAUUUUAUAACUAAUAUUGGUUGUAAACUUGUUGGAGAAUUUAUUUGUUGUUGUAUGAUGUAUUUGUAUAAUUAGGUGAUAGCUAUAAACUUGUAUUGUAGUUGUAUA